AUUCCUUUCUCGGCCUUUUGGCUAAGAUCAAGCGUAGUAUGUGUUAUUAUCAGUUUAAUAUUUGAUACGGGAAUUAUAGACUCACAUGAUAUUAAAUUAAUUUUUUCAGUUUUUUCAGAGGGAAGGCCCAAUUGAGUAGCUUACUACUCGGGCCUUCACGUGUUGCAUUAAAGCACGGGCCUGGCGCUCCCCUC